UGUGGGACUCAUUGCCGUCGUCGGUGGUCAGGUUUGGGCUUUUGACAGCCCAACUGCAUCAUACUAGCUAUUUCCCCUGCAAAUCAGGAUCUUGCUACAUCUGAUGCCAUUAAGAUCUCUCGUGAAGUUGAUCCAAAAGGUUCUGUUUGGCUGCGAAUGUGAUUAUAGGUUACUCUUGCUGGAUUUAGGAAUGGCAAGUUUUCUACAUUGGUGGCUACAAAUGUUGCUGCUCGUGGUCUAGAUAUAUCAAUGAUGUGCAGUUAAUUAUUCAGCUCAAUGGAGGAAUUUCAGUCAUCUAUAGAUAUGGAGUCCCAUAGGAGUUCACCAGAGAAUGACCUUUUAUCGUCUGUAGCUUUGUCAGGUCCUUUAUUUCGGAGCACAAUCUAUCAUCUGAAAGUACCAGGGUCUUCAAUUACGUCUCUGGGACCAGAAUAUACACUUCAAAACAAGUCAUAUAGCCUAUAUAGUGAUAAAAGAUAAUG